GGGGCUGUAGCUCAGUUGGGAGAGCGACUGUAUGGCAUACAGUAGGUAGUGGGUUCGAUUCCCAUCAGCUCCA
rnacentral:tRNA from 2 species